rnacentral:lncRNA from 1 species
GUCGUCUAAAUAUUGUGAAAUCCCAAGUUUGAAUUUGUACAUGAAGCUCGCAUCCAAAUCCUUAUGGGAAAUUUCCUCUCAACUUUUUUCUUUAUUUUCUCUUUUCCUCUAAGAACCGGUCUCUCCUUCCUAUCGUUGACGUGCAGCCUCUUUCUGCCCCUAUAGGCAAAAAGGGGCCUUCCUCCUCUAUCCAGAUGUGGGUUUGCUCUCUCCUCUUGGGUAGAAGUUGUAAAUAUAUGUAGCUAGGUUUUGAAUCCCAGAUUUGUGCUUCUUGGUGGAGAGCUCUAUCAUCCGAAUCUAGAUUUUACCCAUGUUUUGAUACCUAAAUAUUGAGCAUAGCUAUCUUUCUUGAUAGAUUUGGGUGGACUUUUCUCUUUAGUUUUUUCCUUUCUAUUCUAUUUUCUUUGUGGUUCCUUGCAUGUAGGUUUGGAGACGAGGAUCUAGCUAUCGUCAAAGAAAAGAUAGGGCACAACAAGAUCUAAAGUAGAGCAAGAUGUCAUCUACAGUUCCGCAAUUUGGCUAGAGGUCUAGCCUUCUCUCUCUAUGAUAUCUUUCUUUGUUCCUGUCGUGCUCCAUUCCUCGAGUGCAUGAUGUGGUCCUUUCCCAAUAAGGAGGUUUACCUAAAGCUAUUGACUAACAGAUUUCAUUGUGAUGCCGCAAAUUCUUGGACCUGGUUGUAUGUAUCUUUCAAAGUCUCCUUUGCUCUCUCCUCCUUAUAUCUGUAGACUGCUUGUUUUGUUUUUAUUUCUCCCGAGCUUCAAUCUGUCUUCUAUGGUUUGUAUGGCUAUUGUUGGGAAAUCACUUUAAGCCGAAGUUUUAGGGGAGAGGUGGUGGAGACUUUGCUCGCUACCAGAUCUAGUUCUGGAUCAAAGUCGUUUUCGGAUUUAGGAUUCUAAAAUCGGGACUUCUCUUUGUACCUUAUUUUUUUUUGUUCGAAAGUUAUAUGGAUCUCUUUGUAAUUUGGCAUUGAACC